AGCAAUAGGGGGGGUGUAUUUAGAACUACCCGACCUCUCGGCCCUCAACUCUUUUUGUCUCUCUCUAAUGCCCUUCGGUCCUUACCUCUCGUGCAGGCUGCGCCAAUCCCUGCCUCCCACCCAAGUUUUUAGUUUUCAUUGCCCUCUAUUCCCCUUCAUCUCUCACCAUUGUUAGUGCUUGGUUUCCAUGGACAGACAGCUAGGAAUUGAGUGUAGAUGGGGAUUGUUUCGCCCCAUCAGAUGUUGAAAGGGGCGUUGUGGAGCUCAGCUGUGCGCUGCAUGUUGUCAACUUCAAUCAAACAAUGAUCCAAAGACUCAGCACCAAGAGAAGUGUCAAAUGAGAAAGGAAAAUAUUGAGGCAAGUCUGGGUCGAUAGCUUCUAUUAUUUCAAGGUUGCAUGGUUUUGAAAUUCAGUAAUGAUCACCAAUGUAAUGAUUGUGCUUUUGUGAAAGCUCGUCUAUAUCGAAUCAAUAGAGUUUUGAUGUAACGCUUCUUAGUGAGCUGAUACAGGCUCUGUAAUGAAAGUCCAUCAUCUAUUGGGCUGGGAUUUGGGUGCUCAUUACAGUUUUUAGCACAAAAAGAACCCCAAUGUUAGGCUCCAUGGCUUCAAUAAGAGUCCAAAUUGCAACUGGAUCCAGAACAUCACAAAUAAUAUUUUUGUUUUCUUCAAAACAAAAA